GAUGAACGCUGGCGGCGUGCCUAAUACAUGCCAGUCGAGCGAACAGACGAGGAGCUUGCUCCUUUGACGUUAGCGGCGGACGGGUGAGUAACACGUAGGUAACCUACCUAUAAGACUGGGAUAACUUCGGGAAACCGGAGCUAAUACCGGAUAAUAUUUCGAACCGCAUGGUUCGAUAGUGAAAGAUGGCUUUGCUAUCACUUAUAGAUGGACCUGCGCCGUAUUAGCUAGUUGGUAAGGUAACGGCUUACCAAGGCAACGAUACGUAGCCGACCUGAGAGGGUGAUCGGCCACACUGGAACUGAAACACGGUCCAGACUCCUACGGGAGGCAGCAGUAGGGAAUCUUCCGCAAUGGGCGAAAGCCUGACGGAGCAACGCCGCGUGAGUGAUGAAGGUCUUCGGAUCGUAAAACUCUGUUAUUAGGGAAGAACAAACGUGUAAGUAACUGUGCACGUCUUGACGGUACCUAAUCAGAAAGCCACGGCUAACUACGUG
rnacentral:rRNA from 1 species